CUCGAACUCCCUAUAACAGGGAAAAGAGCGUUGAGAAGGAGGAAGCCAGUUCAUCAAAGCAAUAUCCAGGAGAGGGCGGAACAGAUGGAAGAAAUCAAAACCAAAGACUUGGUCUCUUUCAGAUUAGUGCUGCAUAGGAGUUCAAGUUUUUAGCUUAUAAAAAUCAAAUUUAACCCGGUGAAGCUAGGUAUUAUAAAGCUGCUCAUCAAUUCAGUAUGUACAAGGGUAUUCCUCGUCCACGUGCUUACUACCGGUGCGCAAUGGCUGUAUGAUGCCCAGUGCGGAAGCAGGUGCAGAGAUGUUCGGGAGACAAGACUAUAUUACAGCUUAUGAAGGAAAUCACGAUCAUCCUUUACUGUCUUAAGACACAGCAAUAGCUCACACAACCAUUGCAGCUGCUACUGGGCACCUCUCAGGUUCCAUGAGCAACAACAGAUAAACAACCGGCGCAGCGAAUGGUUUCUUCUCUUCACCAUCAACAGCUCUUGUAUUCCCUUACACUGCUAACAUUGCUACGCUGUCAGCCUCUGCACCGUCAAACUGCACACCAGUUGGCUUGUAAAGUUAAAGUUUUAAUCUUAUCGUGGCUUAAAGUCCAUCAUCCUACAAGUGCAAUACCCUUCAGCGACUGGAUAUUCACAUGGGACAUUCUUUUGGAGUGGCAGCCACCUUAGGUGUUUGGAUUUUGAUUUCAUCUCUAGUCUGUAAAGCUUUUUGAAUGGAGUUGGUUUUGUACUUGAUGUUCUUUUGGUUUUUUUGAUCAUUAGAACUUGCCUGUAUUGCUUGUACAUUGUACAAUUUUUAUUUGUAAACUUCGAAAAACCACUAUUGUAAGACAUCAUCUGUAUAAAAUGUUUAACCCCUAAUAAAAUAAACCAGAUUUGAU